rnacentral:rRNA from 1 species
GGUUGAUCCUGCCAGUAGUCAUAUGCUUGUCUCAGAGAUUAAGCCAUGCAUGUCUAAGUACAUACCUUAAAACGGUGAAACCGCGAAUGGCUCAUUAAAUCAGCUAUGGUUCCUUGGAUCGUACAUACUACAUGGAUAACUGUAGUAAUUCUAGAGCUAAUACAUGCCACUAAGCCCUGACCCGCAAGGGGACGGGUGGAUUUAUUAGAACAGAACCAACCGGUUGUGGCUUCGGUCAUGGCCGUUGUACUCUGUGAUGACUCUGGAUAACUUUACUGAUCGCAGUCGGCCUU